rnacentral:tRNA from 1 species
GGAGGGUUGACCGAGUGGUUGAAGGUGACCGGCUGUAACCCGGUUCUGUAAAAAGCGCGCUGGUCCGAAUCCAGCACCCUCCACCA